GUUUCUUUGGUGGAAUGCGGGCUUGCUUCUACUCCACAGUUCUCCUAUUUAAAUCCAUAGCACGCACAAUCAAGUACACCUUUUUAUGUCUGGCAAAGGCAAGUUAUGUCCCGGUAUUUAAUUGUCCCUGGAGAGAUACUGACGGCAUGAUGGAUUUUCAUUGUUCCUUUGACAGGCACAAGUGGGGGCACAACAAUCCUUUCCUGAAAUGGCCUCUGCAUUGGGAAUAUAUUCUCCAUGGUGGACAGUUUUGUCAGCUGAUCUUUUAAGGGUACCCCCCAAAACCAUCUGGAGCCCCCUUUCCAAGACUGACCUCAAAAGGUUGAACUCAUCAGACGUCCUCUCCACAUGCAGAUCUUCAGCAUCCUUCCACCACCACCACUGUCCAGACCCCAACAAUGUGGAUAUCCUAUUCUACUCAUGGCUUCACCACCCUCUUUACAAUAAUAUGGCCACUACGGAGUCACCGAAGACUCUUCACUUUUCUCAGCUUCAUUAUGCAUGUCAAUAAAAAUACUUGUCCACUCAUAAUGAAGUCUCUUCUGAUUGAAUAGCUGCUGUAUAAAAAGCGACUGGGAUCCCAUGUUCACUUUAAAUACAGUUCAGAGUAUAAUGAAUCAGUACUGUAGAUGAGUCACCAUCUGCCAAAUACAAUAAUUAUAGGAGGACUAUAAUGAUAAUUCUGGUGAUUGUAAUAAUCAUUGUGACUUUUGAAUGAAUUAUCAUUGUGAUGAAGUCAGAAUCACAAGAACACCAGAACAUGUCAAGAAUUUGGCUAUUAAUAGGAUGAAAGCUCCGGGGAUCGAAGGUGAUGAUGAUGAACAUGGUGUAAAUGCACUGAGUAGCCAUGACUGACCAGUUGCAUAUGCUUACAAAGAUGGUGCUGCUGCUGCUGAUGGUGGUGGUAACAUACAUGACAAUACCAAUGAUGGUAAGUUUGACAGUGAUAACGGUGGAGAAACCUCUGCUGAAAAGCACCGAAAUUGGUUCCGAUAAUGAAUUGAAACAUGUCAUUUCUGAUAAUUGAUAUUUAACUCAGACACUUCCCGAUGAUUAAUUCCCCUCAUUCCAGAUUCAUUUGAAGGGCCCUUGCCCAUGCCAAUUCACCAAGUAUGAAGUAUAAUCCUCGCUUAUUACUUCUAAUAUCGUUCUACUGUCUGCAUAAUAAUUCAUUCCACCGUUAGGCUGCAAUUUUCCUCUUGGUGAAUUACUCAUUAAAGAGCUCAUGUUCAGGAUAUGGAAAAUGAAAGCAUACAGUGUGAAAAGUAUGGCCUCCGUCGGUCUUGAAAUGUAGAUCUGAAACCGGACCGACAAAUAAAUCUGGACCGUUGGAAACGGUGAUAAUACAUCUUACACUACAAGUCUUGUUAAUUUAUUCUCUGAUUGUAAUCAUUCUUCAUGAAUUAUGUUUAUGUGAAAUCAAAUCAUAAUUUGUAUAAUUUAUUUGUAGAGCCUCUGGAUCUCCCUCAAGGGUCCUUGGAACCCCCUUAAAGAACUAUGGAACCACUUCCCCAAGGACCCCUAGAGGUCCCUAGGACACAGAUUGGGAGCUGCUAUAGAUAGCUGGAGGCUACAUGAGGGACCAUUAUCCUGCUGAAAGGCCAUUGCCAACAGGGAAUACAUGAAAGGGUGUGCAUGGUCUGCAACAAUGCUGGUGGUACGUGUUAAAGUAACCAGUAUCCACAUGGACCCAAGGUUUCCCAGCAGAACAUUACCUGGCUUGUCUUCUUUCCAUAAUUCAUCUUGCCAUGUGUUCCCCAGGUAAGCAACGCACGCGCACCUGGCCAUCCAUGUAAUGAAAGAAAACGGCGUUCAUCGAACCUGGCCACCUUCUUCCGUUGCUCCGUGAUCCAGUUCUGAUGCCAACAUGUCUAUUGUAGGUGCUUUCAGCAGUGGACAGGGGUCAGCAUGGGCACCCUGACUGGUCUGCGGCUACACAACCCCAUACGCAACAAACUGCGAUGCACUGUGGGUUCUGACACCUUUCUAUCAGAACCAGCAUCAUCUUUUUCAGCUUAUGGUCAAAUAACAGUCUAAUCAGUCUAUAGUCCAUCAAAAUUUCACAUACCGCUGUCUUUAUACCCCUACCUCACCAGAGUGGUAUCAAUAAUUGUUUCUGUUUUUUAUCCACUAAUUAUCAUGUGUCAUAAGAGGAAAAUAAGCUAUAAUAAGGUCAUUUUGUAAAAAAGGCCCAAUCUCAUGAGGGAGAGAUAAUGAAACACACACAGUUCUGCACCUCACUGCGUGUUAUAAAACUCCUCUGAAGCAAAGAUCUAAAAUAACUAGAAAGACAGCACAAAAAAUAGUCAACAAUGCCGGCUCAAUGGGGAAUGCAGGUGUUAGGUGACAAGGUUUUUGAUCUAAAGUAACUGUUUCCUGGCUAAUGUAGCUUUAGUCUUGAAAAUUAUGCUGUCUGAUUGGCUAAGGAAUUAAAUUGGGGUGCAGGGGAUCAAACCACGACCUUCUGAUUAGUGGACAACCUGCUUGACCUCCUCAACAACAGCUGCACACAACUAUUAACAAUAACUUCUAUAUUUCCAAACACUGUGGUGGUGUUUUUAUUGGUCGACUGAGUACAUCCGCUUAGUUAAAGAGGGCUAAAACUGACUGCUGUGUCUCCCUCUAGUGCAGUUAGAUUUCUGUUAUGAAUUGGUGCUUUAUAAAUAAAACUGAAUUAUAUUGCUAAACAAGGGCAAGUUACAGGUUAGUUAUUACAAAUGUCAAUGUGAUUUUGGAUGAGGUUUUCUGCUUUCACUUUGGCUCUCUCUGUCGGGCUGAAUAACAGAGAGGAAACAAAAUAGCCUCUCCCGUCUGAGUAACAGAUCACUGAAAAGCAGCUCCUUCGCUCCAGAUCUUUGAGGCAUCAGUACCGGCCCCCAAAAGCCCCAAUCAGCCGCUCCCUGUGCGCUCUCUCUCCCACCCACAAACAUCUCACUCCCCCCUCUCUCUCUCUCUGUUCCGCUGGAGCUCUCUCACUCAAUCUCUGUCUCCCUCCAGCCUCUCUCCACCCACUCUCUCUCCCUCUCUUCAUCUCCUCCUCACACACUCAUUGCCUCCCUCCAUCUACCCCUCCGUCCUCAAACUAAUUGAGGCAGGUGGCCUCUUUUAUUCCCUCUCUCCAAAUCUCUCAGCACUGCUGUUGUCAGGCAGCUCGAUUACACUGUGUGUGUGUGUGUGUGUGUGUGUGUGUGUGUGUGUGUGUGUGUGUGUGUGUGUGAGUGAAUGUGUAUCUGGGAUUCUUUUUUAGUACUGAAUCUGAAUCUGUUGUGGAAGGAGUCUUCAUGCAAGCAGUAGUGUGUGUGUGUGUGUGUGUGUGUGUGUGUGUGUGUGUUGAUGAACAUGAAAGUGAAAUCCUAAUGGCACUUUUCUCUUUCAGCAGUGGCCUCUCCAAACGCCACUCUUUGGGCCUCAACAUGCAAUUAAUCAAUUCAGCUUGUUCAUCCUGACCGAUCCUGUUGGAGUGUCGGGAUCUUAUUACACUUAUAACAUGGACCCACACGAUCUGCAGAUAUAACUCUGCACAUCACUAGAAGCCACCAAUGCAGAACAUCUUACUAUCAGAAUAAUAGAACAAACCACCACACCACAUGCUCAGAACCCUGGAACACUCUGCUUUGUCAGCCAGCCAUUGAAUUCACAGAAUACUUCCUGAAACACCAGCUCCUCUCGCAAGCCAGCUCCAUGUCACUCGCAAUGUCUGGAACAUGGAUUCAAUCCUCACCCAGCCCCACUCCCCAGCCUUCAGUCCUGACAAUCGAGCCCGUUCUCAAACGUAGUUAUUUAGAAGCGUCUCUAUGAGAUGGUCUGGGGUGUCCUGUACAGACCGGAAGUGCUAGUUAUUAGCUACGUUUGUGAUAAAGGUGUUGACAGCCCCCCUACACCCUUACCCUUACCGGUAGGGCUAGUUACCUAGCGCUAGCUAGCUAUGUUCUUGAUAAAAGGUGUUGACAUCCCCCCGAAGCCCCUUCCCUUACCAUAACCAUCAGAAAUGUUAGUACCUAAACCUAAGCCACUGACUUUAUUCAUGUCGACCGGCUAACCCUACAGGUGCAGGCAGGUCCUGAACAGGUAGGGUUAGCCUCCCUUGUGUUGUUGCAAUGUAGCAAAUGCGGGCGUUUCAUACGGACGCUGAAGGAUACCUUUAGCGUAAAAUCCUUAUGCUUUGUCACGCAGCCUGAAAGCGUCAGUUAUGACGCAUUGAGAUGAGAAUGCAUUUAUUAUUAUUAUUUAAUAAUAAAAUAAGUGUUGUUUAUUAAUAAAAAAUUGUGCUUUAUUUCUGGUUCAGGUCUGCUUUUGAGUACUGGACACAACCCUGACAAAAAAAUUCUACCAGUUGCGCUCUGCCGACUUAAAUCUGCUCUUAACUAAGUUUGGGUAAAAGGCAAAGUUAAAAAGCAAAGUCAUUUAAUUGAUCUCUUUCCAAACAUCAUAAAUAAAAGACUGAAUAUAGAACCCAGUUCAGCAAAUAAUUAAUGAUAAUCAUCAUUCAGGCAGAUAUUGGUAUAUCAGGGUCCUUUUAAACAAUGCAAAUGGCACUCUUCUCUGUUGAAUGCUCGCUUGUUAAUUUAGGCUGAAUAUUUGGAUGUAUUUUUACAAACAAGUUUUUAUGAAUUGUGUAGUUAUUGCAGUAUAUAUGAAUUUGAAUAGGAGUGUUGCAUUUACACGUUGUUGUUAAUGUAGCCAAAUGUGUCCCUAACCCACUAUGAAGGUGGUUUGGGUGAUUGAAUCCGCCCUUGAAAGUCCAUAAAAUGCCGGUGAAAUAAAAAAUGAGAGGGCAACUAAUGCCCCUGAUAAUUAGUAGUACCCUUUUUUGGAUUUCACCCAGGUCAUUUUUCACAAAGAGGUCACAUUUCAAUUUUUUUCAGUUGUCAUGUGUUCAUGCAUGAAUGUGACCAGUGUUCCCUGUGGACAACCACAAGUGACCCGUGUUCUCCUUGUCUUAUGUGAGCAUUAAGCAGUACAAUAUUUCAGAAACAGCAGUAGAAUAAAACUGACUGACAAACCACUCAAUCAACAAAAAUAAACAACUAAUAAUUAAUAAGGGAGGGAGAAAAUUGACUAUUUGGUGACAGACAACUUCUGUAAGGUGUGUUGACAAUAUCGAUGUGUGUUUCAAUAAAUGUAAAAAGCUGUCCUGCUUGUGUUACUGCAAGUGUUAAAUCAAAGUUACUGAAUCAUAAUGACCCCUGACAUUAUGAUGAUGUAUCUUCCUGUAUUCUAAUUGCCUUCUAUCCACACACAGAGCACUGAGAGAGAGAAAUGAGAAAGGAGAGUCAAACAUCACUGCAGAAAUCCAGUCUAGGCAUGCUAUUUUGUGAUCAUCAUUUUGAAAUGUCUAUUGUGUUAAAUGAAACGAAUAGAAUUACAGUAUGUUUGAAAUUGAAUCUGCCAGCCAGCUCCAUAACAUCACACUAUUCAUCACAUUUCAUCUUAUAAAUACAGGUCUUCAUCAUGGCACGAGAGAGGAUACUAAAGACACAGAGAACUGCCUUAAUUCUACGUGGCAUUGAUUCAACAAGGUGCUGAAAGCAUUCU